rnacentral:rRNA from 1 species
GGCAAUGGCGCAGCUAUAAUGCAGUCGAGCGGACAGAUGGGAGCUUGCUCCCUGAUGUUAGCGGCGGACGGGUGAGUAACACGUGGGUAACCUGCCUGUAAGACUGGGAUAACUCCGGGAAACCGGGGCUAAUACCGGAUGGUUGUUUGAACCGCAUGGUUCAGACAUAAAAGGUGGCUUCGGCUACCACUUACAGAUGGACCCGCGGCGCAUUAGCUAGUUGGUGAGGUAACGGCUCACCAAGGCAACGAUGCGUAGCCGACCUGAGAGGGUGAUCGGCCACACUGGGACUGAGACACGGCCCAGACUCCUACGGGAGGCAGCAGUAGGGAAUCUUCCGCAAUGGACGAAAGUCUGACGGAGCAACGCCGCGUGAGUGAUGAAGGUUUUCGGAUCGUAAAGCUCUGUUGUUAGGGAAGAACAAGUGCCGUUCAAAUAGGGCGGCACCUUGACGGUACCUAACCAGAAAGCCACGGCUAACUACGUGCCAGCAGCCGCGGUAAUACGUAGGUGGCAAGCGUUGUCCGGAAUUAUUGGGCGUAAAGGGCUCGCAGGCGGUUUCUUAAGUCUGAUGUGAAAGCCCCCGGCUCAACCGGGGAGGGUCAUUGGAAACUGGGGAACUUGAGUGCAGAAGAGGAGAGUGGAAUUCCACGUGUAGCGGUGAAAUGCGUAGAGAUGUGGAGGAACACCAGUGGCGAAGGCGACUCUCUGGUCUGUAACUGACGCUGAGGAGCGAAAGCGUGGGGAGCGAACAGGAUUAGAUACCCUGGUAGUCCACGCCGUAAACGAUGAGUGCUAAGUGUUAGGGGGUUUCCGCCCCUUAGUGCUGCAGCUAACGCAUUAAGCACUCCGCCUGGGGAGUACGGUCGCAAGACUGAAACUCAAGGAAUUUGACGGGGGCCCGCACAAGCGGUGGAGCAUGUGCUUUAAUUCGAAGCAACGCGAAAACCUUACCAGGUCUUGACAUCCUCUGACAAUCCUAAAGAUAGGACGUCCCCUU